GUCAAAGGACUUUUUUUUUUUUUUUUUUUGCCACUUGGGAAUUAGCUGCCAACAUGCCCGCCAAGCCUGCCCCGAUCAAGAAGAAACCCGCCCCUCUCAAGAAGGUGCAAAAGGCCACACCUGAACCGGUUGCAGCACCGGCUCCCGAGCCCGCCCCGGUCGUGGAGGUCCCCCCAGCGGAGCCUGCCGCGCCGGCGGAGGCGGCGCCCGCCACUGACCCCGAGCCGGCCGCACCUGCCGAGGUCUCCGCGCCUGCCGUGGAGGGCGAGGCCCCUGCUGCUCCUCCAGCCGAAGCGGCUGAAGCCGCACCGGCUGAUGCAGAAGCUGGCGAAGCACCACAGCCCGAAGAGCCUAAAGCACCGACACCGCCGCCACCUCCACCCAAAGAGCCCACGAGCGCCCCUGUGGAUCUGUUCGUGGAGGACAAGAACGACACUUCGGUGACGAUCAACUGGAGUCAGCCAGAGGUUGUCGGGCUGUCCGGCCUAGAUGGGUACACCAUCGAGGUGUGCAAGGACGGAACCGAGGACUGGAAGGCCGUCAACGAGGACCUGCAGAAGUCUUGCCGCUUUAUCAUCAAGAACCAGACCACCGGAGACCGGCUCAAGAUCCGUGUGGUGGCCGUGAACGCCGGAGGACGAAGUCUGCCUGUCGCCCUCCCUGAAGCUGUCCUGGUGAAGGAGGUUGCCGAUCGUCCCAAGGUGCGCCUGCCUCGCUUCCUCAGGCAGAGAUACGUGACCCAAGUUGGGGACAAGAUCAACCUGACCAUCCCCUUCACAGGCAAACCCAAGCCUGUGGUGAGCUGGACCAAGAACGGGCAGCCCCUGGAGAGGGGAAGGGUGAACAUUCGCAGCACGGAGAGGGACAGCAUCAUCUUCAUACGGGCGGCCGAGAGGGACGACUCCGGCGUCUUCGAGAUGUGCGUCAAAGUGGACGACUUUGAGGACAAGGCCACACUCACCCUGCAGAUUGUCGAGCUUCCUGGACCUCCAGCCAGCGUAAAGAUCGUGGACACGUGGGGCUUCAACGUGGCCCUGGAGUGGACUGUGCCCAAAGACAACGGUAACACGGACAUCACAGGCUACACCAUCCAGAAGGCCGACAAGAAGACCGGAGACUGGUUCACCGUGCUGGAGCACUACCACAGACUCAACGCAACGAUCUCAGACCUCAUCAUGGGCAACAUCUACAAGUUCCGGGUGUUCUCGGAGAACAAGUGUGGAGUCAGCGAGGAGGCGGCCAUCACCAAGGACGAGGCCAAGAUCCUCAAGACGGGCAUCAAGUACAAGGCCCCUGAUUACCAGGAGCACGACUUCACUGAGGCGCCCAAGUUCACCACCUCCCUGGCCAACAGAGCCACCACGGUGGGCUACAGCACCAAGUUGCUGUGCUCCGUCAGGGGAUACCCCAAGCCCAAGAUCGAAUGGCUGAAAAACCAGAUGAUCAUCGGCGACGACCCCAAAUUCCGUCAGAUCUGCGUGCAGGGAAUCUGCUCCCUCGAGAUCCGCAAGCCGGUGAGCUUCGACGGAGGCGUUUACACCUGUCGAGCCAAGAACAACCACGGCGAGGUCACAGUCAGUUGCAAGCUGGAAGUCCGACAGCCGGUUGUUCCAGAGGCAGAAAAGAAAUAAGCGUUCAUCUUCAUUCACAAAGGAGCCGAGAGUGCGGGGCCUUCGCAGCAUAAGGAAGGUUCUGGAUUCCUUGGAAGGACGUGUACAGUACAUACGGCUGAUGACCACAGCUCCAAAUACAAAAGUCCUAAUCCAUUUCUGCCAUCAUCUUCCCCCCCCCCCCACACAAAUGCCAACAAACUCCACAUACUAUAUAACAUGUUUGUACGAACGACUCAUUUAGUUAGCCUCCCUGCUGUUAUUUACGAAAGACGUGGUCAGAGGCUAAAAGAUUAUAACGAAGCUAACCAAUGUGUACGAGUCGUUUUCAUAGCAUUUAAUCGAUUACGGUAAAAAAUGCCCACCGCAUUUUAUUUUGAAAAUCAAUUAUUUUACUGACAUGAGUAUUAUUUGAAUCAUUGGCAGUUGUUAUCAUUCAAAAGGGAAUCAUUGUUUGUCAGUGUUAAAGUUCCAUUUUUCAAACUUUUAAUCGCAAAAUGUUUUUACCGUUACGUGUCCCAAAUGAAAUGUCAGGUUUUGCAACAUGUUUUAUGAAGAUGCUAAUUACAUUUUUGGGCAUAUAGAAUUGUUCUCCUAUUGCUUAUUAUGCAUUUUCUGUGAAAACUAACACAAAUGCAUCUUCGCCUUUUAGGAGUUCCUUUCCCCCCCGUUCUUAGCCAAAAAGUGCAACGUUGUUCCUUCUGUUGUUUUUGCCACUGCAGGGAGCCGCAUUAUGUUGUUGCAAUGCACCAGAGGGAUCUGUGAUCUGAAGUGUCAGGAUGUGGCAGCCAUUUCGCAUUCACACAAUAGCAGACAGCAAAAUAGAUGAUGUUAUUUCUGAAGUAUGUAUGAAUUUGUGAAAGUGUCAGGGCAAUUGCAUGUCUUUACCGUUAUUACGUUUGUAUAAAGACAAGAGUCUAAUGGGUUUAAUGAGUAAUUGGGAUCAUUUAUGCACUUGGAGAGUUUGAAGGGCAACGGAUGUGAAUUGUGCAAUUUGCACGGUGCCUAUGAAGCUGCUUAUGUCUUUUGCAUUUUUUCUUUACUAUUGUGGUGUGAAAUUUUAAAUCAAUACCUUUUAGAAAAAAAGGAUUUGGCUGUUUCAGGAUGGGAGACGUAUGCACCUAAAAUCAAGGCGGCAAAGUGUGUUUACCUUUAUGAAAUCGAAUGACACGUAAAUGACCCAUAUGCUACCAGAACUUGAAAUAAACAUUGUCUGAUCAUU